GGGGCCAUAGCUCAAUGUUAAGAGCAUCUGCCUUGAUUUCAGAAGGUCCCAGGUUCAAUCCCCAACAGCUCCA